rnacentral:rRNA from 1 species
AUACGGAGGGUGCAAGCGUUACUCGGAAUCACUGGGCGUAAAGCGCGCGCAGGCGGCUUGAUAAGUUGGAUGUGAAAGCCUACGGCUCAACCGUAGAACUGCAUCCAAAACUGUCAAGCUAGAGUCUGGGAGGGGAAGAUGGAAUUAGUUGUGUAGGGGUAAAAUCCGUAGAGAUAACUAGGAACACCAAAAGCGAAGGCGAUCUUCUGGAACAGUACUGACGCUGAGGCGCGAAAGCGUGGGGAGCAAACAGGAUUAGAAACCCCGGUAGUCC